UGGGGAAUAUUGCACAAUGGGCGCAAGCCUGAUGCAGCCAUGCCGCGUGUAUGAAGAAGGCCUUCGGGUUGUAAAGUACUUUCAGCGGGGAGGAAGGGAGUAAAGUUAAUACCUUUGCUCAUUGACGUUACCCGCAGAAGAAGCACCGGCUAACUCCGUGCCAGCAGCCGCGGUAAUACGGAGGGUGCAAGCGUUAAUCGGAAUGACUGGGCGUAAAGCGCACGCAGGCGGUUUGUUAAGUCAGAUGUGAAAUCCCCGGGCUCAACCUGGGAACUGCAUCUGAUACUUGCAAGCUUGAGUCUCGUAGAGGGGGGUAGAAUUCCAGGUGUAGCGGUGAAAAGCGUAGAGAUCUGGAGGAAUACCGGUGGCGAAGGCGGCCCCCUGGACGAAGACUGACGCUCAGGUGCGAAAGCGUGGGGAGCAAACAGG
rnacentral:rRNA from 1 species